UGUCAAAAUCCUGAGGAAAGUUGUUGGCAAAUGGAAUUUUUCUCCCUAAUCCCUAAUCAGCUCCCUGCCAAAUAAACAACCUCGCCGCCAACUUUUGGUAUUUUUGGAGUGCAAGGAAAGUAAGAAAACUGGUGAUAAUAAACGACACCGUUUGGUUCACUCCCACCAACUCCCUUGAACUGCUUGUGCCCAUAUUCAAUAUUAUAUGUAAUUAUAUUCAACUUUUCCCUACAUAUACCUAUCAAAGUUUCAGAUUCUUUUGCCCCUCAGGAACAGAAGAGUGUUCUCCUCUGCUAAAAAAGGAACAAUAUUUUUCUGUGUUUCUCUUCUUCAGUCUCAGCCACCAUGGCAACAAAACUCACCUCAUCACCAAACUCUCUCCUCCUCCAAAAUCCUUAUCGCCACAACCUCCUUAAACCCAAUUCCUCCGCCACCUCCUUCUCUAAUAUCGCCACCCAAAAUAAGCCCAUUUCAAUCAGAUGUGCAGCCACAUCAACAGCUGCAGUCUCGCCAAUCCCCGCAAAUCAAGAUCCAGAAGACCGUGUCUUCAAUUUCGCCGCCGGGCCAGCCACCUUACCUGCUAACGUCCUCAAGAAGGCCCAGGCGGAGCUCUACAACUGGCGUGGAUCUGGAAUGAGCGUAAUGGAGAUGAGCCAUAGAGGGAAAGAAUUUCUCUCUAUUAUUCAAAAGGCUGAGGCUGAUCUCCGUUCUCUUUUGAAUAUCCCCGAAGAUUACGCCGUUCUGUUUCUUCAGGGCGGCGGAACCACCCAGUUCGCCAUGAUCCCGUUGAACCUGUGCAAGCCCGAUGACCCGGUUGAUUAUGUGGUUACUGGAUCUUGGGGCGAUAAGGCUUUCAAGGAGGCACAGAAGUUUUGCAAGCCCAAGGUGAUUUGGUCUGGGAAAUCUGAGAAGUAUACAAAAAUCUCACCUUAUGAAAGUUUAGAGCAAAGCCCAGAUGCCAAAUAUUUGCAUAUUUGCGCUAACGAGACCAUUCAUGGAGUGGAGUUCAAGGAUUACCCAACUCCCAAAAAUGGGAUUUUGGUGGCUGACAUGUCUUCAAAUUUCUGUUCAAAGCCUGUAGAUGUUUCCAAGUUUGGUUUGAUCUAUGCUGGAGCUCAGAAGAAUGUAGGGCCCUCUGGGGUUACAAUUGUGAUAAUCAAGAAAGACCUGAUUGGAAAUGCUCAGGAGAUCACUCCUGUGAUGCUGGACUACAAGAUCCAUGCGGAGAACGAUUCACUCUAUAACACUCCUCCUUGUUUUGGCAUAUACAUGUGUGGUUUGGUCUUUGAGGAUCUUUUGGCACAGGGUGGAUUAACGGAGGUCCAAAAGAAGAACAAGAAGAAAGCAGAAUUGAUAUACAAAGCUAUUGAUGAGAGCAAUGGGUUCUACAGGUGCCCAGUUGAAAAAUCUGUAAGGUCAUUGAUGAAUGUGCCUUUUACACUUGAGAAGUCUGAUUUGGAAGCUGAGUUUAUCAAAGAAGCUGCUAAGGAGAAGAUGGUUCAGCUUAAAGGGCAUAGGUCAGUGGGAGGAAUGCGAGCUAGCAUUUACAAUGCAAUGCCACUGGCUGGAGUGGAAAAGUUGGUAGCUUUCAUGAAAGAUUUCCAGGCAAGGCAUGCUUGAAUCAGUGAUUGAUGUGAGUGUGCAAUUCCCCUUUUUAAUGGGGCUAUAAACGCCUCUUAUGAAUUAGAGAUAUGUAACGUUUUUGGAUUUUCUGUUGCUUCUGUUCAGUUUCAUCUCAAUGGAUUGUUAAAAUUGGUAUCUUUAGUUGAUUGCAUUCUUGAGCAAUAUGCUCAUACAAUUAAUUGUGGGAUGGCACUCUGCAUUACCUUGAGAAUGACACUGCUACUGCUAUUACUAGCUAACUGGCUAAAGAAUCUGAAAAAGGUGGCCGCCAGAUUUCUUGUGAAUGGUUAUUCAUGAAUAAAUUGGUUUACAUGGGUCGGUCUCGGCACUUUGUAACUGGUUUUCCUUGUAAUUGCGGUGUGCGAGUAAGGAUGAACGCUGUUCUUCUGAAAAAAUU
rnacentral:misc_RNA from 1 species